GUUCAACUCUGCCUCCACUCUCGCCGCCAGCGCCGCCAUCUCUCUCCCGCCUCGGCCUCGCCUCACCCCCCUCACGGUCACCUCCAUCAUCAUCAUCGGCCGCCAGUGCUGCCACAGGUGCGGAGGCUGGUCCACCUGUUCCACAAGUUACUUUAAAGUUGGAUGUUGGACAGACAUUCACUCCGGAGACACCCAGCGGCGUCUCUUCCUCAGUUUCCCCCGGUGUUGGCAGCAGGAGGACGGUUAGCUGCCUCCCAGAAGCUCGCGCUGCUCUGGAGGUUGUGUGUCAUGUGGCUGUCAGGUGUGGGUCUGCAGGGACACUGUUGUGUCUGUGCUGCUUGUUGUCUCUCUCACUCUGUUGCUCUCUCACUCUCUCUACUCACACUCGCCCUCAUGCUGUAAAUCUAGAGGAGGCUGCAGGUCACAGAGGCUGUUAUGGGAGGUGAAUAUGUUCAUCAAUCAACCCAGUUUAACAAGUGAAGAAAUGAUUCAGCUCAACUCAUUAUGAAAUGUUAA